rnacentral:rRNA from 1 species
GAAUUUUCCGCAAUGGGCGCAAGCCUGAGGGAGCGACUCUGCGUGGAGGAAGAAGGCCUUCGGGUUGUAAACUCCUGUCAGGGGUUAGGAAACCCGCAGGGGUGAAAACCUUUGCGGUUGACAAAGGCCCCAAAGGAAGUCACGGCUAACUCCGUGCCAGCAGCCGCGGUAACACGGAGAUGGCAAGCGUUGUUCGGAAUUACUGGGCGUAAAGGGCGCGUAGGCGGUCGCGUAAGUUGGGUGUGGAAUCCUUCGGCUUAACCGGGGAAUUGCGCCCAAGACUGCGUGGCUGGAGGACGGCAGGAGAGAGUGGAACUCCUGGUGGAGCGGUGAAAUGCGUAGAUAUCAGGGGGAACGCCGGCGGCGAAAGCGACUCUCUGGGCCGAUCCUGACGCUGAGUGCGCGAAAGCCAGGGUAGCGAAAGGGAUUAGAUACCCCUGUAGUC